rnacentral:rRNA from 1 species
CAGUCGCCGCGGGAAUACGAAGGGGGCUAGCGUUGUUCGGAAUUACUGGGCGUAAAGGGCGCGUAGGCGGCCAUCCAAGUUAGAUGUGAAAGCCCUGGGCUCAACCUAGGAAUUGCAUUUGAUACUGUUUGGCUUGAGUUCGGGAGAGGUGAGUGGAAUUCCCAGUGUAGAGGUGAAAUUCGUAGAUAUUGGGAAGAACACCAGUGGCGAAGGCGGCUCACUGGACCGACACUGACGCUGAGGCGCGAAAGCGUGGGGAGCAAACAGGAUUAGAGACCCGAGUAGUCCCUGUCUCUUAUAC